rnacentral:rRNA from 1 species
AGAGUUUGAUCAUGGCUCAGAAUCAACGCUGGCGGCGUGCCUAACACAUGCAAGUCGAACGAGAAAGUGGUAGCAAUACCAUGAGUAAAGUGGCGCACGGGUGAGUAACACGUGACUAACCUACCCUUGAGUGGGGGAUAACUGAGGGAAACCUUAGCUAAUACCGCAUAAUACCCACGGGUCAAAGGAGCAAUUCGCUCUGGGAGGGGGUCGCGGCCGAUUAGUUAGUUGGCGGGGUAACGGCCCACCAAGACGAUGAUCGGUAUCCGGCCUGAGAGGGCGCACGGACACACUGGAACUGAAACACGGUCCAGACUCCUACGGGAGGCAGCAGUGGGGAAUUUUGCGCAAUGGGGGAAACCCUGACGCAGCAACGCCGCGUGGAGGAUGAAGUCCUUCGGGACGUAAACUCCUUUCGAUCGGGACGAUAAUGACGGUACCGGAAGAAGAAGCCCCGGCUAACUUCGUGCCAGCAGCCGCGGUAAUACGAGGGGGGCGAGCGUUGUUCGGGAUUAUUGGGCGUAAAGGGUGCGUAGGCGGCUUGGUAAGUCUUAUGUGAAAUCUAUGGGCUCAACUCAUAGACUGCAUGAGAAACUGCCGGGCUCGAGUGUGGGAGAGGUGAGUGGAAUUUCCGGU